GAUGAACGCUGGCGGCGUGCCUAAUACAUGCAAGUCGAGCGAACGGACGAGAAGCUUGCUUCUCUGAUGUUAGCGGCGGACGGGUGAGUAACACGUGGAUAACCUACCUAUAAGACUGGGAUAACUUCGGGAAACCGGAGCUAAUACCGGAUAAUAUUUUGAACCGCAUGGUUCAAAAGUGAAAGACGGUCUUGCUGUCACUUAUAGAUGGAUCCGCGCUGCAUUAGCUAGUUGGUAAGGUAACGGCUUACCAAGGCAACGAUGCAUAGCCGUCCUGAGAGGGUGAUCGGCCACACUGGAACUGAGACACGGUCCAGACUCCUACGGGAGGCAGCAGUAGGGAAUCUUCCGCAAUGGGCGAAAGCCUGACGGAGCAACGCCGCGUGAGUGAUGAAGGUCUUCGGAUCGUAAAACUCUGUUAUUAGGGAAGAACAUAUGUGUAAGUAACUGUGCACAUCUUGACGGUACCUAAUCAGAAAGCCACGGCUAACUACGUG
rnacentral:rRNA from 1 species